UCCCGCUUAGCUCAGUUGGUAGAGCGCGUCACUAGUAAUCGCCUUCUGGCUGGGAAAUGACGAGGUCAGUCGUUCGAGUCGGCUAGUGGGAA
rnacentral:tRNA from 1 species